UAGGGAAUCUUCCGCAAUGGGCGAAAGCCUGACGGAGCAACGCCGCGUGAGUGAUGAAGGUCUUCGGAUCGUAAAACUCUGUUAUUAGGGAAGAACAAAUGUGUAAGUAACUAUGCACGUCUUGACGGUACCUAAUCAGAAAGCCACGGCUAACUAAGUGCCAGCAGCCGCGGUAAUACGUAGGUGGCAAGCGUUAUCCGGAAUUAUUGGGCGUAAAGCGCGCGUAGGCGGUUUUUUAAGUCUGAUGUGAAAGCCCACGGCUCAACCGUGGAGGGUCAUUGGAAACUGGAAAACUUGAGUGCAGAAGAGGAAAGUGGAAUUCCAUGUGUAGCGGUGAAAUGCGCAGAGAUAUGGAGGAACACCAGUGGCGAAGGCGACUUUCUGGUCUGUAACUGACGCUGAUGUGCGAAAGCGUGGGGAUCAAACAGG
rnacentral:rRNA from 1 species